rnacentral:lncRNA from 1 species
UUGUCCCUUGAUUGAACAUGUCAUGUGAACCUAUUUUGUUUUACAUUCGGUAAAAUGAAAGUCUUGGAAGGACUCUUGACGCGAAAAUGAGAUUUUAGCCUAUAUGGUUACAAGUUUAAUAAGUAUGAAGGUUCAACUUGUCCCUUGAUGUCCCUUGAUGCGAAACAUGAUAUUUGAAACUAUUUGGUUUUAAAUUCGGAAAAAUUUAAGUAGUGAAAGAACCGUAGUCGCAAAAAUGAGAUUUUGUCCUAUAUGCUUGCAAGUUGAAUAAAUGGGAAG